GUACAUUAGUGCUUGCGCACGACAAUAGUUUUCAUUACAUUCGAGUGUGUGUAUAAAAAUCCUCUGCCAGCCAGAGCUAGCAAGAGGCCAAAGGUUCACAGGGGUAUUGGAUGAAAGCCACCAACGUGCACUUGCUCUUACGAGCCAGCACCGAGGGCGACCAUUCGCAAUCAUUAAUGAUCCUUCCGCAGGUUCACCUACGGAAA
rnacentral:misc_RNA from 1 species